GCUCCGGUGGCCUAGUGGUUAUAGCGUCCUCCUUAAAUGCGGGAGGUCGUGAGUUCGAUUCCCAGUCGAGUCA